rnacentral:lncRNA from 1 species
UUACAAAUUAUUUUUUAGCCAAAGACACCUAAUAUUUAUUCACAAAUCAAUCAAAUAGUUGGUCACAAACGCCUAAAUAGUUGGUCACUGACAUCCCACCGCCUCACCACCAUCAGCUCAACCACCACGUACAUCCCUGCUACAUCCUUGCACCUUGCUCCAACAACGAGCCACCACCUCCAAUCAACCAACACACUGUCGUAUGCUAAAAUCUACCACACCACCACAGCUACCAUCCCACCAACAAAAUCAUCAAAUUCGCCACUGCAACCAAUGUCACCACCUCAAAAUCACCGCCAAUAUCACCAUCACCAACUAACAAACAUUGUCAACCAAAACACUGCACAACCCGAGCCAAAAUCAGAGUCGUAAAGCCACCACCACUCUUAUGAACACAACCACUAGAUCUACCAAAAAUCCCCAAAUUGUCGCCGCCAUAACCUCCUCAAAUUGGAAAGAGAAAGAACCCUAAACCCCCUCCACAAGCCGUUGGCGCCAAAGGAUUUCAACGUCGCGACGUUGCAUUGAUGGAUUGCAAACACCGUACGCUUCGCACGUGUUGCACAGUGCAAUUAUGUAGUCACCGAUUGUCAGAAUUUGAAUGGGUUGUCGAAGUAGAAGAGAGAGACUGGAGAGAAAAUGAGAGAGAGGAUGGAGAGAGGUAGAGGAGAGAAGAAAAAAUCGUCGACGACAAAGAGAAAGAAGGGAGAGUC